UACGGAGGGUGCAAGCGUUGCUCGGAAUCACUGGGCGUAAAGGGUACGCAGGCGGCCUGUUAAGUCGGGUGUGAAAGCCCGGGGCUCAACCCCGGAGUUGCAUUCGAUACUGGCAGGCUUGAGUACGGGAGAGGGAAGCGGAAUUCCUGGUGUAGAGGUGAAAUUCGUAGAUAUCAGGAGGAACAUCAGUGGCGAAGGCGGCUUCCUGGCCCGAUACUGACGCUCAUGUACGAAAGCGUGGGGAGCAAACAGGAUUAGAUACCCCCGUAGUCCCU
rnacentral:rRNA from 1 species